rnacentral:lncRNA from 1 species
CUUUUUCGCCCCGCCCUUCAAAUGCGAAAGCGACUGCCUUCUUGGAACACUCAAAACUAGCAUCUGAUGAAUGCCUACAUUCAGUCCACAAAGCAACAAUGGUCCUAUUUUUCCCUCCACUUUAAUGAGACCGAUCACUCUUCUAAAAACUAAGCCAGUUCCUUCAAAUUUAACAUGUGAUGAUUAAAAAGAAAUGGCUGGGUUCCGUUCCAAGAUAGCUGAAUAGGAACAGCUCUGGUCUGCAGCUCCCAGAGUGAUCGACGCAGAAGACGGGUGAUUUCUGCAUCACCAACUGAGGUACCUGAUUCAUCUCACUGGGACUGGUUGGACAGUGGGUGCAGCCCACGGAGGGCAAGGUGAAGCAUGACAGGGCGUCGCCUCACCCAGGAAGCACAAUGGGUCGGGGGAUUUUCCUUUCCUAGCCAAGGGAAGCUGUGACAGACUGUACAUGGAAAAUCAGUACACCCCGCCCAAACACUGUGCUUUUCCCACAGUCUUAGCAAAUGGCAGACGAGGAGAUUGCUCUCCCAUGCCUGGCUCAGCGGGUCCCAUGC